rnacentral:rRNA from 1 species
UACGAAGGGUGCAAGCGUUGUUCGGAAUUACUGGGCGUAAAGCGCGCGUAGGCGGGUUUGUAAGUUGAUUGUGAAAGCCCUGGGCUCAACCCGGGAACAGCAGUCAAAACUGCAAAUCUUGAAUGUCUGAGAGGAUGGCGGAAUAACCGGUGUAGUAGUGAAAUACGUAGAUAUCGGUUAGAACACCUGAGGCGAAGGCGGCUAUCUGGCGGUGACAUUGACGCUGAGGCGCGAAAGCGUGGGGAGCAAACAGG